rnacentral:rRNA from 1 species
UACGGAGGGAGCUAGCGUUGUUCGGAAUUACUGGGCGUAAAGCGCACGUAGGCGGCUAUUCAAGUCGGGGGUGAAAGCCCGGGGCUCAACCCCGGAACUGCCCUCGAAACUAGGUAGCUAGAAUCUUGGAGAGGUCAGUGGAAUUCCGAGUGUAGAGGUGAAAUUCGUAGAUAUUCGGAAGAACACCAGUGGCGAAGGCGGCUCACUGGCCCGGUACUAACGCUGAGGUGCGAAAGCGUGGGGAGCAAACAGG